rnacentral:rRNA from 1 species
GACGAACGCUGGCGGCGUGCCUAAUACAUGCAAGUCGAACGGUUAGUUCCUGCCUUUGUCGUGCGCUCGAGUGGCGAACGGGUGAGUAACACGUGAGUUAACUGCUCUUUAAUCUGGGAUAAAUUCAGGAAACUGGGGCGAAUACCGGAUAUGAGCUCCCGCUGCAUGUUGUGGGUUGGAAAGUUAGGGUGGUUGGGGAUGGUCUCGCUGCUUAUGAGCUUGUUGGUGGGGUAGUGACCUACCAAGGCUUUGAAGGGUAGCCGGCCUGGGAGGGUGACCGGCCACAUUGGGACUGAGGGACGGCGCAGAAUGCUACGGGAGGCAACGGUGGAGAAUAUUGCAGAAUGGGCGGAAGCCUGAUGAAACGACGCCGCGUGCGGGAUAACGGCCUUCGGGUUAUAAACCACUUUCGCAUGUGAUGAAGCGUGAGUGACGGUAAUGGGUAAGAAAGCAACGGCUAACUACGUG